AUGGACUCUACUCUCUUCAUCAUCGGCGUCAUAGGGAACAUCAUCUCGGUUCUGGUCUUCAUUUCUCCCAUCCCGACAUUCUGGAGGAUCGUGAGGAGCGGGUCGACUGAGGACUUCGAGGCGGCGCCGUACGUGCUCACGCUGCUCAACACGCUGCUAUGGCUCUACUACGGCCUCACCAAGCCCGACGGCCUGCUCGUCGCCACCGUCAACGGCUUCGGCGCCGUCAUGGAGACCAUCUACCUCGUGCUCUUCCUCGUCUACGCCGCCGACAAAGGCAAAAGGGUUAAAACCGCAAAGUUGGUGGCAGCUUUGGACGUUGGGUUUUUCGGGGUCGUUUUCGCGGCCACAACAUUUGCCAUUGAUGGGCUGGACAUGAAAAUCAUGGUUAUUGGCUUGAUAUGUGCAUGCCUUAGCGUGUUCAUGUAUGGGUCCCCACUCGCUGCCGUGCGAAGGGUGAUCACCUCAAGGAGCGUGGAGUACAUGCCCUUCUUCCUCUCCUUCUUCCUCUUCCUCAACGGAGGCGUCUGGGCCACGUAUGCCGUACUCGACAAAGAUGUCUUCCUCGGGGUCCCUAAUGGAACAGGCUGCUUCUUGGGCGGCAUCCAGCUGGUUAUCUAUGCGGUGUACAUGAACAGCAAGGUCGCCUCUCACUCUUAUGGCAGCGACGAAGCGGCUUCCCUUUUGUCCUCCGAGGCCAGCAAACAUGGCCAGCACGAUGCAUCCACUCGUGUUUAG
rnacentral:rRNA from 1 species